UGCCAGCAGCCGCGGUAACACGGGGGGCGCAAGCGUUAUUCGGAAUUACUGGGCGUAAAGCGCGCGUAGGCGGACUAUUAAGUCAGGGGUGAAAUCCCGGGGCUCAACCCCGGAACUGCCUUUGAUACUGGUAGUCUUGAGUUCGAGAGAGGUGAGUGGAAUUCCGAGUGUAGAGGUGAAAUUCGUAGAUAUCGGGAGGAAUACCGGUGGCGAAGGCGACCACCUGGCCAAAUACUGACGCUGAGGUGCGAAAGCGUGGGGAGCAAACAGGAUUAGAUA
rnacentral:rRNA from 1 species